CAAGCACCGGGACUCUGUAAAGUGAGUGGGAAUUCCCCUGCCUAUAGAGGUACACAGAUCCUAAUCUUGGGGCUCUCACAUCUUGCAUGUACAUGGAGGGGGGCGCAGAAGGGGACCGUGUGUGGGUGUAUCCUCCUGGCCCAAGAACUGCUGGAGAAACCAGCUUUUGAUAUUUGUGUGAAUUAUUUUUUUUCUUGCUUGCUCUUUUUUUUUUUUUUUUGGUUGUCUUGUUCCUCUCUCCUGAUUUACUGCAUAUGCUCACGUGGCCUUGGAAAGGGGGGUUCUCAAACCGUUUCACUUCCAAAAGGAAAAGAAGCUGGCAGGCAUUCAUAUUUCAGUCCUCAAGUUAUGUAUGUUAAAGUCUCCCAGUGGGAAAAUGGAAGAUAUAAGAGAGCAGAGAGCUGGUGGAGAUACUUGUUAAGCGAAAACAGAAGAAAGAAGCACGUAACCCUAGAGCUACAUCCAGACAAAUUAGAGGUUUCAGAGGUAAUUUGCUGUGGAAGGAGUCCAGGGCUGCCAUCUUCAGCGUCUCACAUACCCUCUAUUCCAGGGGUGUCUUUCCAUGGAAUAUUUGUCUCCUCUGUAAAAAAAUUCAUCUCUUUUCUGUGGAUGGAGGAAUUUGCCACACCAUAG
rnacentral:lncRNA from 1 species